AACGAACGCUGGCGGCAGGCUUAACACAUGCAAGUCGAGCGCCCCGCAAGGGGAGCGGCAGCCGGGUGAGUAACGCGUGGGAACGUACCUUUUGGUUCGGAACAACUCCGGGAAACUGGAGCUAAUACCGGAUAAGCCCUAACGGGGAAAGAUUUAUCGCCGAAAGAUCGGCCCGCGUCUGAUUAGCUAGUUGGUGAGGUAACGGCUCACCAAGGCGACGAUCAGUAGCUGGUCUGAGAGGAUGAUCAGCCACACUGGGACUGAGACACGGCCCAGACUCCUACGGGAGGCAGCAGUGGGGAAUAUUGGACAAUGGGCGCAAGCCUGAUCCAGCCACGCCGCGUGAGUGAUGAAGGCCUUAGGGUUGUAAAGCUCUUUUGUCCGGGAAGAUAAUGACUGUACCGGAAGAAUAAGCCCCGGCUAACUUCGUG
rnacentral:rRNA from 1 species